UCUGCUCCUAGAGGCAUUGUAUGUGUGGUUACUGUGUCAUAUGUAUGUCAGUUGGUGGCAGAAAGGAGAGAGGCUGUGUCUACUCUCAGUGUUCUUACCUAUAAACAUCUGAAUAAUUAGAAGCUUAACGUU